rnacentral:rRNA from 1 species
GAAUAUUGGACAAUGGGGGCAACCCUGAUCCAGCCAUGCCGCGUGAGUGAUGAAGGCCUUAGGGUUGUAAAGCUCUUUCAGCGGGGAAGAUGAUGUCGGUACCCGCAGAAGAAGUCCCGGCUAACUUCGUGCCAGCAGCCGCGGUAAUACGAAGGGGGCUAGCGUUGUUCGGAAUUACUGGGCGUAAAGCGCACGUAGGCGGACAUUUAAGUCAGGGGUGAAAUCCCAGAGCUCAACUCUGGAACUGCCUUUGAUACUGGGUGUCUUGAGUAUGGAAGAGGUGAGUGGAAUUCCGAGUGUAGAGGUGAAAUUCGUAGAUAUUCGGAGGAACACCAGUGGCGAAGGCGGCUCACUGGUCCAUUACUGACGCUGAGGUGCGAAAGCGUGGGGAGCAAACAGG